GGAUUCGUGAGGGCGAUCUGGUUGUGGUUGAUUCGGCUGAUCUGGCUGGCUAGGCGGGCGUCCCCUUCCUCCCUCACCGCUCCAUGUGCAUCUCUCCAGAAGCUGUGCACUCAGUCAAAGAGGACGAGCCUUCCCUAUUAGACACAGACCAGUCUUCCGUCAAGGGUAUAGCUGCGCUCCCAUGCUAGAACCUCCAAACAGCUCUCAAGAAGCUGGGAGAGGAGUGCUUUGGCAUCCCUACUUCCUCUCUCCCUUUCUCCACUCUAGUGUCCGGGAUGGAGAAAAGG
rnacentral:snRNA from 1 species